rnacentral:tRNA from 1 species
UCCCUGGUGGUCCAGCAGCUAUGACUCUGGGCUCCCAAUGCAGCAGGCCCAGGUUCGAUCCCUGGUCAGGAAA